GUGGAGUGGAUGGGCAGAGGCAAAGGCGCUCUCUCGGCGCAACAACAAUGCCUUGCCAGUGGCCCAAAGGUCUGAAAUGUCUGAUUGGAAUGGCCAUCGAGUGGGAGAAGUGGGAGAGCGACGGUGCGACGGAGCGACGGGCACUAAAGCUACCGGAUACCCUACCCUCGCUACUGCCGGAUCCGGAUACCCUACCCAGCCGGAAAUAUCGACCGAAGGAAAAGUUCCCUCUCCUAAUUAUUUUGAAAUUAAGGCGCGUGACAUUGGCAGUCGGAGGAGUCGAGAUUCGGAACUGGAAUCGGGAGUCGAGAGAUGUCCUUUUACGGAGUGCCAGCCGCUGGAAUGCAAAUGAAUUAAAUGGGAUCCGCAAUUACUCGAGCAACAUAUUGCACCUACAGAGAAAACUUUUGUCGUCGAGGGAGCUUCAACUGUAUUUUGAAAUUCGUGACCGUUUUCAUUUCGAAUUCCAUCGGGGGCAACGGCAGUAGAGCCAUCCAAAUAAUUAUAGAUUUAAUCAUGAAUUACGAAAAUAAAAUGACAAUCAUCGGUGAUCAACGCCGCUGCUGCCGCCGCUGCGGCUGAGGUGAUUUGGUUUUUAUAUUUCACAGCGCCCACAUGGAUGCGACGGCCGCUAAUGCCCCCUGUCCAAACAAUAAACUCAUUUUCAUCAAAAAUAUCGACCUUGAAGGCCCCAGAAUCUCAACUAAGCCGCCAGUCGGCAAUCCACGAAAAUAAUGGGGAGACAAACGCAUCUAUAUCCGUUGUACAUAUUUGCAUCUACAGAUGCCCUCAAAAUUGCUUAAAAUCGCAUAGCUUGCCAUAGGUAGUGUUAUAAAAAUUCUAGAGAUUUGAUAACAUAUAAAAAUAUGCGUGAUAGUAUAUUCUUAUUCUUGAAUCUUCGUUAAUACUAAUAUAUUCUUGUAUAAUGUUAGAUACAUUUUUAAGUGGUUUCAAACCUCUAGAUGUUGCUAAGACACCAUAUUUAAUACAAACCGUGCUUAACUUAAAUUUUGAUUAUUUUUAACCCAUACAUAUUUCUAAGUAUCUUGUGUAAAAACAAUUCUUAAAUUCAACUAAAAAUCAUAAAUUUUAUUAUAAGCUUGAACAAUACAAUGCUUUGCCAAACUAAAUAAAUAAUAAAUAGUAAGCAUAUGUAGAAAGAAACGUCUGCGGUAUCAUUGUUCUGCUUGCUCUCUAUUCGCUUGUGUGCAAAAAUGUACCUCUUGAGGAUCAUCACCGAGAUAUUGGGAAAACAAAUUUUCCCCACGUCACCAGAAUAUUCGAAUGCUUCUCGCACGACAAACGAAACAGAAAACAGAACAAGUGUAUAUGUAAAAGUGCUCUAGUCAUUUGCCGGUAUGUCAUCCCACUUCAACUCGUAGUCCGUCCAUUCAAAUCCAAAUCCAAAAACUGAAAGUCCCUUUCCCCGCACAGUCAGAAAUCAAUCAAAAUUUGCUCGCGAUGAUUUAGCAUGGAAUUUUUGGCUGAUGAUGAGACUUCACUAAUUUUUCAGCUCGAGCAAAUGGCGAGCAGCAAAUAGCGAUCUCCUUAUGCGUGGGCGGCAUCCAUUGGCAUUGGCUGCUGUGCUUGACGACAGCAUUAAAAUAUGUGUCAGCCAGAAAACCAAGUGCUGUUAAUAUUCAAACAAAAGCAAGCUUUCACAUAUGUACAUGAAAAUACGUAUUACGAACGUACACAUAUGUAUAUACUAUAGUUUUGUAGGUGCAGUGUGCGGGUACGUAUUUAAUUAUAGGCGGUAAGAUACACAAAUUAAACUUUACAAAUACCCGCUGUAAAUUGAUGCGCAAAAACGACAGCC